rnacentral:lncRNA from 1 species
CCCGGUCAGUCAGCAGGCAACAGUGGUGAAGUGAGGGUGUGCCGGCAUGCUGGACAUAAUCAAUUUGGCUAAUGGAGCUGAAGUUGUUCAUCAGAUGUGCCUGGUGAGAUGUCUUUGCAGUCCAAUAUGUCCGGGAAUAUCAGGCAGUGUGACCCACAGCGCUGGAGGUGCAGUCUCUACAUGCUCCUACUCAGUGGGUGACGAUGGCUUCACUGCCCUGGUGAUGCUGCAGCCGGGAGUGAAUCACAUAGUUGCUCAGUAUGGCACACACAUGGCAACCAGGCAGAUUGUCUUCUCUCCAAUUCAAAUUGAAAAAUUUGUCCGCCUUAUCUAUGUUACAAGUUUUGAUGAAGACAAAUUCCAGGUAUGCAAAAUUAUUUUUGUUGAAUUAGAGUUUGAUGCCCACAAUGAAGCGUUUUCUGUGGAAUUUAUUCUAUUUGCCAAUGAUUCAUGUUUGGAAGGUCAAUUCCUGAGCUCAUUUGUUAUAAGAUUUAUGUUCAGAAACAAACAAUUACCUACAUUUCUUUCAUUCUCUUAUCAUUACAGUGCUGAAAUACUUACA